CCUACGGGGGGCAGCAGUAGGGAAUAUUGCUCAAUGGGGGAAACCCUGAAGCAGCAACGCAGCGUGGAGGAUGAAGGUCUUAGGAUUGUAAACUCCUUUUGUUAGAGAAGAAUAUGACGGUACAUAACGAGUAAGCACCGGCUAACUCCGUGCCCGUAGCCGCGGUAAUACGGAGGGGGCAAGCGUUAAUCGGAAUCACUGGGCGUAAAGGGUGCGUAGGCGGGGUAAUCAGUCAGAUGUGAAAUCCUGUAGCUUAACUACAGAACUGCCUUUGAAACUGUUACUCUGGAGUGUGGGAGAGGUAGGUGGAAGUCUUGGUGUAGGGGUGAAAUCCGUAGAGAUCAAGAAGAAUACUCAUUGCGAAGGCGACCUGCUGGAACAUUACUGACGCUGAUGCACGAAAGCGUGGGGAGCAAACAGGAUUAGAUACCCGAGUAGUC
rnacentral:rRNA from 1 species